rnacentral:rRNA from 1 species
GUGCACCAGGCGCGAAACCUCCGCAAUGCACGCAAGUGCGACGGGGGAACCCCAAGUGCCACUCUUAACGGGGUGGCUUUUCAGAAGUGUAAAAAGCUUCUGGAAUAAGGGCUGGGCAAGACCGGUGCCAGCCGCCGCGGUAACACCGGCAGCUCAAGUGGUAGCCGCUUUUAUUGGGCCUAAAGCGUCCGUAGCCGGUCUGAUAAGUCUCUGGUGAAAUCCCACAGCUUAACUGUGGGAAUUGCUGGAGAUACUAUCAUGACUCGAGGUCGGGAGAGGCUGGAGGUACUCCCAGGGUAGGGGUGAAAUCCUGUAAUCCUGGGAGGACCACCUGUGGCGAAGGCGUCCAGCUGGAACGAACCUGACGGUGAGGGACGAAAGCCAGGGGCGCGAACCGGAUUAGAUACCCGUGUAGUCC